rnacentral:lncRNA from 1 species
UGUGGAUAGGGUGCAGGCUACCUGGAGGAUCUAUUGUCUUGCUUAUAGAAAUAAAAUUAUUCUUUUAAAUUUUCAACUUCAUAGAAUGAAAAAUUAAGAGGAAGCCCAAGAUUAAAAGCCAAGGGAUGGAUAGAGAAUUUCAGGAAAAACAGAACAUAUUGGAGUAGUCAGGGAAGGCAUUGUAGAACUGGGACUUAGUUCAUCGAACACUCAUCUGACUGUUCCUAUGAAUUAUACCUUCUGUGGGCUCAAAGAAUCAAGAGUGAUCCAGAAGCCUGCGGAAGGUGGCGCAGCAGAGGGAGCUGGUCGUCCCGAAUCCUGCAUCUGCUGCACUAGUUUGACAGUUAAAAUGACUACGUUCUUAAAACAUUUUUUUUUUUUUUUUUUUUUUUUUUGCUUUAUUUUGAAUAAACAGACCCUCCUGGGAGUAACAAAGACAGAGCUAGAAAUCUCUAAUCUGGCCGAGGGUCUUUUUUUUUCUUCCCUUUAAUUUUACCAUAUGUGGACCCUGAAAUUAUAAUAAGGAAAAGGACAGGACACAGUAACUCACAAUAUAAAGCAAUCUAACCCAGAUGUUGAUGACAGAUUUCUGAA